rnacentral:lncRNA from 1 species
CUCCCUGUUACAUCAUAAUCUGCCGAGGAGUACCGAGUAUCAUCGCAAACUCUUUUUUCCAAGCACAUUAAUUAAAUAUAAAUGAAAACUUAUAUGAUUGAACAUUAAACAACUCUUUAUAUCUUUACACAAGAUAGUUUGAACACUUAAAACUCCUACAAGCACUGACUUCAAGGUUUCGUGAGAUGGUACCCCACCCCCUUUUUUCUCCUGCAUUGCCUAUACGGUAGUGUACUUGUAAAUAAUUGCCAAUAAUCAUUUACAAUUGGCAGUACAAAAUAAAAGACAGUAUAAUCAUAACUCCUUACCUUGUUAAAAUAGUCAAGUUAUGGUCAGUUAUGGUCAGUAGUAAACAGCAUGGCUUUUGACCUCGGGUUCUUUGUUUCGUCCUCCCGCUCAAAAAGUAUCACGUGAUAUGAAUGCCGUCUUCGGCCUAAAUGUGUUGUAAUUCUAAACAUGUUUAGGAAAGUAUCUAAAUGUUGAAAGUGCUUAGAAUUAAAACACGUUUAGCUUCAUAUACUUAACGAAGUAGCUAAACAUGUCUAGCACAGCAACAUGUUUACUGCCAAGUGCUGAAAGCUAUAACAUGCUUACUGCGAAGUGCUGAACGCCAAAACAUGUUUAUUUUUUAUGUUUAGAAAUUACUUGUGAAUUUGGAAAAAGUUGAUGGUAACAAUGUCAACGCAUUUGUAAAUGAAAUUGGAUUAAUUGUUUUAGAGUCUGCUAAGACAACGUUUGGAACACGAACUGAUAAACUAAAAAAAGCGAGCCCCUAAAAAGAAGGGAGACAAGCCAUGGUUUAAUUAUGACUGCAAAUUUUGCGUGGUAAAACUUUAGAAAGCUUAAGCGCAGGCUCAAAUUUUCACCUUCGCUUUCCUUAUAUAACGAAGUUAAAGAUUCUGAGAGGAAAUAUAAAAAAGUUAUGGACAAAGCCAUUAAAACUCAUAGACGUGAUAUGGCUAAAAAAUUAAAAAACCUCAGAUCUCAAAACUCAAAAGAGUAUUGGAAUAUUUUAAAUAAGCGGAAACACACGAAACAACCGGACAUCAAUUUUGAUAAUUUGCUUAAUUUUUUUCAGAGAUCUUAAUUCAGGCACCCCCGAUCCUAUUGAGUUACCAAAUGUAGAUCAAGAUGCUUUAAAAAUUAAUUUGAUUUAAAUGGUACACUUAAUAGUCCAAUUACAAAUGACGAGAUUAUGAAGUGUAUUAAGAAACUAAAAAGUAACAAAGCAUGUGGCGACGAUAUUUUCGAUGAAUUUUUAUUAAUAAAUUCAAAAUCUUUUGUGCAUUUGUGGAUUUUGAAAAAGCGUUUGACAGAGUCAGAAGAGACGCUUUAUGGUAUAAGAUGUUAUUGAAUAACAUUAAUGGUCAUAUGUAUAACAUAAUUCAUAAGAUGUAUGAUAAUAUUAAGUCAUGUUUAUCUUAUUAUGGCAAUAUAUCAGAUUAUUUUUCAUGUAAUAUUGGCCUACGUCAAGG